AAAUAAACACUGGCUACUUGCCUACAGUCUUGAGCUAUUAUUAGGGUUUAAUGGCACUCACAGCCUAAACGCUUCUCCACCAUUUCAGUUUAAAUCUAAUCUGUACCAAAUGCCCAACUGACUCUGCCUUUAGGGGUUGGAUUUUUAAGAUUUGUGGUGACAAUGAUGUACGGUGAUCCUCAACACCAACAACAACAGCAGCCGGGCGGGGAAUUCCUCAGGGGUCCACCACCACCGCCACCGAUGAUGCGACAGCCUUCGGCCUCUUCAACUACUCUCAAUCCCGCAGAUUAUCACCAUCCCUCAGCCGCUGGGCCUCUUCCCCCUUCUUACGACGCUCACGGUGACAAUUUUGGCGCAAAAAGAAUGAGAAAGCUUACCCAGAGGAGAGCAGUUGAUUACACGAGUACUGUUGUCCACUGUAUGCAGAUUCGAAUGUGGCAGCGGGAUUCAAGAGACAGGAUAGCAUUGCAACCUACUCCAGCUGCGGCAAUUGAUAUGUUACCAACUGCUGCCUAUGCUGACAAUCCAUCAACAAGCUUUGCUGCAAAGUUUGUUCAUACAUCUCUAAACAAGAAUCGUUGUUCAAUUAAUCGGGUUUUGUGGACUCC
rnacentral:misc_RNA from 1 species